AGUUAGAUGGCUGAUAAAAGCGUUAAAUUGUAAAUUUAAUUAUAGAGUAUCUCUUCUUACUA
rnacentral:tRNA from 1 species